ACCGUUUGUUGUUUUCGGAUGUUCUUGUAGUUCGGGCGGUCUGAUAGACUUGCUUUGGUGCUGUGUAAGGAGGUAUGCUUGUGUAGUUGAUCUGAAUUGCCCCAUUACUAAUAGAGUUUACAUUUGAAGCAAGAAAGAAGUCGGUGUCAUUAA